GUGCUACUCCCUUCGUCCUGAAUUACUUCUCAUAUAGAUGGAUAAAAAUGGAUGUAUCUAGAACCAAAAUAUGUCAAGAUAUAUCCAUUUCCACGACAAGUAAUUCUGGAUAGAGGGAGUAGAAG
rfam:Hordeum vulgare subsp. vulgare, WGS project CAJW01000000 data, contig: morex_contig_365186